rnacentral:tRNA from 1 species
AAAUUUAGGUUCUCAAACCAAGAGCCUUCAAAGCUCUAAACAGAAUAAACGUUCUAAUUUCUG